ACUGCAAAAUAUCAUAUAAGUUAAACACAUUAGAAAUUUAUUUCUGUUCACUUAAAAGCAGGUGAAUGGUGUGACUGACUUCUUCAAGCAAAAUGAAGUCUCAAUUCCAGGUCACUGAAAGAGGCAAUGGGCAUGAAAGCACUUACAUGGAAGUUGUAUUGCAUUUUCAGGCCUAUUAUGUGGCACAUGUCAAAUCUGCUCUCAUUCCACUUGUUGGCAUUUAGUCAUAUAGUCAAUAACUAUGUGCAAGAAAGCUUAGCAAAUGCCUACUAGUGUGAGCAGAAAAAUUAGAAUAUGGAUUUUCGUCAGCAAUCAGCAAUCUCCAUAACAGCAUAAAUAGCUGAAUCUGAAUUUUUAGUUUAAUUUGAUGAUACUUUAGUCAUAUGACAGGGUCUUAAAAAAAUACUUAUUUGUCUAAUUCUUGGUCUGUCACUGGAUAUCAAACUUAUAGCACUGCAAAUUUCAGAAACUGACUUCCAUUUUGUUUUCCCCAGUUCAGUGGAGUAGUUUCCUUCCGUAAGGUAAUAUACAAAUCUGUUUUCCUUUAGGUGGAUCAACCUGAGAAAAGUGAUACGCAAUGUCUCUUUAAAUGUGUCCUUCCACAAGAGAAACAAAAGCGAAAAAAAAAAGGAAGGGAGGGAGAGAGGGAAGGGAAAGGAAGAAAAGAAAAAAUAAGCAAGCAAGGAAGCCUUGCCCAAUUUAUCAAUAAAACUGACACAGGCAAAGAAAGAAUCUAUGAAGUUGAACACAGAUCAGCAGAAAUUAACUUAAAGGCAACGAUAAAAAGUGAAAAUACAAAACAAGACAGAAAACUCACCCCAACGAGCAUAGCUGUGACUUAGGAGCUAUGAAACAAUAUCAAAUAGAUUAAAUAUGUGGAAUUAGAACUUCUGAAGAAGAAAGUGAAACCAAUAUAUAUAUAUAUAUAUAUAUUGAUAUAUAUAUUUGAAUAAAUAAUGGCUGAGAAAUUUCCAAAAUUAGUGAAAAACACCAAAUUACUAAUCUAAAAACGUUGAAGGACACUAGAUUAAAAAAUAAUAUAUAUAUUAUAUACACACACACACACACAAAAAGUACCUUUUCAAACUGCUGAAACCAAAAGAUAAAGAGAAAAUCUUAAAUAAAGAGAAAUAAAAUACAUUAGAGAAAAACACGGAUAAAAAUUAUAGCAGACAGGGGUGCCUAGGUGGUUCAGUUGAUUAAGUAUCCGAA
rnacentral:lncRNA from 1 species